rnacentral:rRNA from 1 species
GACGAACGCUGGCGGCGUGCUUAACACAUGCAAGUCGAACGUGAUUUUUGUGGAAAUUCUUUCGGGAAUGGAAAUGAAAUGAAAGUGGCGAACGGGUGAGUAACACGUGAGCAACCUACCUUACACAGGGGGAUAGCCGUUGGAAACGACGAUUACUACCGCAUGAGACCACAGAAUCGAAUGAUAUAGGGGUCAAAGAUUUAUCGGUGUAAGAAGGGCUCGCGUCUGAUUAGCUAGUUGGAAGGGUAAAGGCCUACCAAGGCGACGAUCAGUAGCCGGUCUGAGAGGAUGAACGGCCACAUUGGAACUGAGACACGGUCCAAACACCCACGGGAGGCAGCAGUGGGGAAUAUUGCACAAUGGGGGGAACCCUGAUGCAGCGACGCCGCGUGAGCGAAGAAGGUUUUCGAAUCGUAAAGCUCUGUCCUAUGAGAAGAUAAUGACGGUAUCAUAGGAGGAAGCCCCGGCUAAAUACGUG